rnacentral:rRNA from 1 species
GAUGAACGCUGGCGGCGUGCCUAAUACAUGCAAGUCGAGCGAACAGACGAGGAGCUUGCUCCUCUGACGUUAGCGGCGGACGGGUGAGUAACACGUGGAUAACCUACCUAUAAGACUGGGAUAACUUCGGGAAACCGGAGCUAAUACCGGAUAAUAUAUUGAACCGCAUGGUUCAAUAGUGAAAGACGGUUUUGCUGUCACUUAUAGAUGGAUCCGCGCCGCAUUAGCUAGUUGGUAAGGUAACGGCUUACCAAGGCGACGAUGCGUAGCCGACCUGAGAGGGUGAUCGGCCACACUGGAACUGAGACACGGUCCAGACUUCUACGGGAGGCAGCAGUAGGGAAUCUUCCGCAAUGGGCGAAAGCCUGACGGAGCAACGCCGCGUGAGUGAUGAAGGUCUUCGGAUCGUAAAACUCUGUUAUUAGGGAAGAACAAAUGUGUAAGUAACUAUGCACGUCUUGACGGUACCUAAUCAGAAAGCCACGGCUAACUACGUG